rnacentral:rRNA from 1 species
GACGAACGCUGGCGGCGUGCUUAACACAUGCAAGUCGAACGGAAAGGCCCUGCUUUUGUGGGGUGCUCGAGUGGCGAACGGGUGAGUAACACGUGAGUAACCUGCUCUUGACUUUGGGAUAACUUCAGGAAACUGGGGCUAAUACCGGAUAGGAGCUCCUGCUGCAUGGUGGGGGUUGGAAAGUUUCGGCGGUUGGGGCUGGACUGGCGGCUUAUCAGCUUGUUGGUGGGGUAGUGGCUUACCAAGGCUGUGACGGGUAGCCGGCCUGAGAGGGUGACCGGCCACAAUGGGACUGAGAUACGGCCCAGACGCCUACGGGAGGCAGCAGUGGGGAGUAUUACACAAUGGGCGGAAGCCUGAUGCAGCAACGCCGCGUGCGGGAUGACGGCCUUCGGGUUGUAAACCGCUUUCGCCUGUGACGAAGCGUGAGUGACGGUAAUGGGUAAAGAAGCACCGGCUAACUACGUG